GACGAACGCUGGCGGCGUGCCUAAUACAUGCAAGUUGAGCGCUGAAGGUUGGUACUUGUACCGACUGGAUGAGCAGCGAACGGGUGAGUAACGCGUGGGGAAUCUGCCUUUGAGCGGGGGACAACAUUUGGAAACGAAUGCUAAUACCGCAUAAAAACUUUAAACACAAGUUUUAAGUUUGAAAGAUGCAAUUGCAUCACUCAAAGAUGAUCCCGCGUUGUAUUAGCUAGUUGGUGAGGUAAAGACUCACCAAGGCGAUGAUACAUAGCCGACCUGAGAGGGUGAUCGGCCACAUUGGGACUGAGACACGGCCCAAACUCCUACGGGAGGCAGCAGUAGGGAAUCUUCGGCAAUGGACGAAAGUCUGACCGAGCAACGCCGCGUGAGUGAAGAAGGUUUUCGGAUCGUAAAACUCUGUUGGUAGAGAAGAACGUUGGUGAGAGUGGAAAGCACAUCAAGUGACGGUAACUACCCAGAAAGGGACGGCUAACUACGUGCCAGCAGCCGCGGUAACAC
rnacentral:rRNA from 1 species